UAGUCAUAUGCUUGUCCCAAAGAUUAAGCCAUGCAUGUCUAAGUAUAAACAAGUUUAUCCGGUGAAACUGCGAAUGGCUCAUUAAAUCGGUUAUAAUUUACUUGAUGAUCACUUUAUCAUUGGAUAUCCGUGGUAAUUCUAGAGCUAAUACAUGAGCAAAGCCCGACUCGCGAAGGGCUGCAUUUAUUAGAUAUCAAGCUGAUGCAGCCGCAGGGCUGCUUGGUGAUUCAUAAUAACUUUGCGGAUCGUAUGGCCUUGAGCCGACGACGUUUCAAUCAAAUUUCUGCCCUAUUAAAUAGUAGGCACUGUAGUGGACUGCCUAGUUGAUUAUGGGUAACGGGCUAUCAGGGUAGGAAGCCGGAGAGGGGGCCUGAGAAAUGGCCACCACAUCCAAGGAAGGCAGCAGGCGCGCAAAUUGCCCAAUGACGACACGUCGAGGCAGUGACAGAAUGUAACGAACCUGGAGAUUUUUCUCUGGGUAUUGGAAUGAGUACAAUUUAAAUCCCUUAACGAGGAACGAUU
rnacentral:rRNA from 1 species